UACGGGGGGGGCAAGCGUUGUUCGGAAUUACUGGGCGUAAAGGGCUCGUAGGCGGCCAACUAAGUCGGACGUGAAAUCCCCAGGCUCAACCUGGGAACUGCGUCCGAUACUGGCAGGCUUGAAUCCGGGAGAGGGAUGUGGAAUUCCAGGUGUAGCGGUGAAAUGCGUAGAUAUCUGGAGGAACACCGGUGGCGAAGGCGGCAUCCUGGACCGGUAUUGACGCUGAGGCGCGAAAGCCAGGGGAGCAAACGGG
rnacentral:rRNA from 1 species